rnacentral:rRNA from 1 species
GGUGCGAGCGUUAAUCGGAAUUACUGGGCGUAAAGCGUGCGCAGGCGGCUUUGCAAGACAGAGGUGAAAUCCCCGGGCUCAACCUGGGAACUGCCUUUGUGACUGCAAGGCUAGAGUACGGCAGAGGGGGAUGGAAUUCCGCGUGUAGCAGUGAAAUGCGUAGAUAUGCGGAGGAACACCGAUGGCGAAGGCAAUCCCCUGGGCCUGUACUGACGCUCAUGCACGAAAGCGUGGGGAGCAAACAGGAUUAGAUACCCUGGUAGUCAAGGGCG